AGAAGCGAGCCUGCGAAGGCAAGCGGAUCUCUUAAAGCUGUUCUCAGUUCGGACUGCAGUCUGCAACUCGACUGCACGAAGCUGGAAUCGCUAGUAAUCGCGGAUCAGCACGCCGCGGUGAAUACGUUCCCGGGCCUUGUACACACCGCCCGUCACACCAUGAGAGUCGGGAACACCCGAAGUCCGUAGCCUGACCGCAAGGGGGGCGCGGCCGAAGGUGGGUUCGAUAAUUGGGGUGAAGUCGUAACAAGGUAAC
rnacentral:rRNA from 1 species